CCUACGGGGGGCUGCAGUGGGGAAUAUUGCACAAUGGGGGAAACCCUGAUGCAGCGACGCCGCGUGAGUGAGGAAGUAUUUCGGUAUGUAAAGCUCUAUCAGCAGGGAAGAAGAAAUGACGGUACCUGACUAAGAAGCCCCGGCUAACUACGUGCCAGCAGCCGCGGUAAUACGGAGGGUGCAAGCGUUAUCCGGAUUUACUGGGUGUAAAGGGAGCGCAGGCGACAUGAUAAGUCUGAUGUGAAAACCCAAGGCUCAACCAUGGGACUGCAUUGGAAACUGUCGUGCUGGAGUGUCGGAGAGGUAAGCGGAAUUCCUAGUGUAGCGGUGAAAUGCGUAGAUAUUAGGAGGAACACCAGUGGCGAAGGCGGCUUGCUGGGCUUUAACUGACGCUGAGGCUCGAAAGUGUAGAGAGAAAACAGGAUUAGAUACCCGGGUAGUC
rnacentral:rRNA from 1 species